rnacentral:sRNA from 1 species
AAUAAGUGUGCCACUUUCAGGUGGUAGG